rnacentral:rRNA from 1 species
CAUGGAGAGUUUGAUCCUGGCUCAGGAUGAACGCUGGCGGCGUGCCUAACACAUGCAAGUCGAACGGGGUAGUAAUACCUAGUGGCGGACGGGUGAGUAACGCGUGAGAAUCUGCCUUCAGGACGGGGACAACAGUUGGAAACGACUGCUAAAACCCGAUGUGCCGAAAGGUGAAAUAUUUAUAGCCUGAAGAGGAGCUCGCGUCAGAUUAGCUAGUUGGUAGAGUAAGAGCCUACCAAGGCGACGAUCUGUAGCUGGUCUGAGAGGAUGAGCAGCCACACUGGGACUGAGACACGGCCCAGACUCCUACGGGAGGCAGCAGUGGGGAAUUUUCCGCAAUGGGCGAAAGCCUGACGGAGCAACGCCGCGUGAGGGAGGAAGGCUCUUGGGUUGUAAACCUCUUUUAUCAAGGAAGAUAAUGACGGUACUUGAUGAAUCAGCAUCGGCUAACUCCGUGCCAGCAGCCGCGGUAAUACGGAGGAUGCAAGCGUUAUCCGGAAUAAUUGGGCGUAAAGCGUUCGUAGGUGGUGAUGUAAGUCUGCUGUUAAAGCGUGUAGCUUAACUACAUAUAGGCGGUGGAAACUACAUGACUAGAGUGCGUUCGGGGCAGAGGGAAUUCCUGGUGUAGCGGUGAAAUGCGUAGAUAUCAGGAAGAACACCGGUGGCGAAGGCGCUCUGCUAGGCCGUAACUGACACUGAGGGACGAAAGCUAGGGGAGCGAAUGGGAUUAGAUACCCCAGUAGUCCUAGCUGUAAACGAUGGAUACUAGGCGUUGUCUGUAUCGACCCGGACAGUGCCGUAGCUAACGCGUUAAGUAUCCCGCCUGGGGAGUACGCACGCAAGUGUGAAACUCAAAGGAAUUGACGGGGGCCCGCACAAGCGGUGGAGUAUGUGGUUU